UCCGGCUUAUCACCGGCAGUCCCUUUAGAGUGCCCAACUGAAUGGUGGCAACUAAAGGCGAGGGUUGCGCUCGUUGCGGGACUUAACCCAACAUCUCACGACACGAGCUGACGACAGCCAUGCAGCACCUGUGUUGCGGUUCCCUUUCGGGCACUCUCACAUCUCUGCGAGAUUCCGUACAUGUCAAGGGUAGGUAAGGUUUUUCGCGUUGCGUCGAAUUAAUCCACAUAAUCCACCGCUUGUGCGGGUCCCCGUCAAUUCCUUUGAGUUUUAACCUUGCGGCCGUACUCCCCAGGCGGUCAACUUCACGCGUUAGCUUCGUUACUGAACAGCAAGCCGUCCAACAACCAGUUGACAUCGUUUAGGGCGUGGACUAC
rnacentral:misc_RNA from 1 species